rnacentral:snRNA from 10 species
CAAUGUUACAACUCCUUUAGAAUCUGGCAGGUUUUCAGGUUUUUACCAGAUCCCGC